UCCACUUAACUUGGAGUCCGAACUCUCACUUUCUAACCCUGUGCACUUGUUUGGGAUAGUAACUCUCGCAAGAGAGCGAACUCCUAUUCACUUAUAAACACAAAGUCUAUGAAUGUAUUAAAUUUUAUAACAAAAUAAAACUUUCAACAACGGAUCUCUUGGCUCUCGCAUCGAUGAAGAACGCAGCGAAAUGCGAUAAGUAAUGUGAAUUGCAGAAUUCAGUGAAUCAUCGAAUCUUUGAACGCACCUUGCGCUCCAUGGUAUUCCGUGGAGCAUGCCUGUUUGAGUGUCAUGAAUACUUCAACCCUCCUCUUUCUUAAUGAUUGAAGAGGUGUUUGGUUUCUGAGCGCUGCUGGCCUUUACGGUCUAGCUCGUUCGUAAUGCAUUAGCAUCCGCAAUCGAACUUCGGAUUGACUUGGCGUAAUAGACUAUUCGCUGAGGAAUUCUAGUCUUCGGACUAGAGCCGGGUUGGGUUAAAGGAAGCUUCUAAUCAGAAUGUCUACAUUUUAAGAUUAGAUCUCAAAUCAGGUAGGACUACCCGCUGAACUUAAGCAUAUCAUAACGGG
rnacentral:rRNA from 1 species